GCCCUCGUAGCUCAGGGGAUAGAGCAUUGGUUUCCGGAACCAUGUGCGGGAGUUCGAAUCUCUCCGAGGGCG
rnacentral:tRNA from 1 species